rnacentral:misc_RNA from 1 species
AUGAAGAACGUAGCGAAAUGCGAUACGUAAUGUGAAUUGCAGAAUUCAGUGAAUCAUCGAGUCUUUGAACGCACAUUGCGCCCCCUGGUAUUCCGGGGGGCAUGCCUGUCCGAGCGUCAUUGCUGCCCUCAAGCACGGCUUGUGUGUUGGGCCUCCGUCCUCCUCCCGGGGGACGGGCCCGAAAGGCAGCGGCGGCACCGCGUCCGGUCCUCGAGCGUAUGGGGCUUCGUCACCCGCUCUUGUAGGCCCGGUCGGCGCUUGCCGACACAUCAAUCUUUUUUCCAGGUUGACCUCGGAUCAGGUAGGGAUACCCGCUGAACUUAAGCAUAUCAAUAAGCGGAGGA